CUAUGGCAAGCAAUACAGCCACAAGAAAGAGGAAGGGGAACGGCGCAUGACCUGGGAAAAGAACCUCAAGCUCGUUAUGCUGCAUAACCUCGAGCACUCACUGGGGCUGCAUUCCUAUGACCUGGGCAUGAACCACCUGGCAGACAUGACCAGCGAGGAAGUGGCUGCUUUGUUAACUGGAGUGAAAAUUCCCCACCGACCUGACCGGAAUUCCACCUACAGGCCACGGCCUGGCAGCAAAGUGCCUGACUCCAUGGACUGGAGGGACAAAGGAUGUGUUACGGAUGUGAAAUAUCA